rnacentral:rRNA from 1 species
AAUGAACGCUGGCGGCAGGCCUAACACAUGCAAGUCGAACGGAUCCUUCGGGAUUAGUGGCGGACGGGUGAGUAACGCGUGGGAACAUACCCUUUGGUACGGAAUAGCCCCGGGAAACUGGGAGUAAUACCGUAUGUGGUCGAGAGACGAAAGAUUUAUCGCCAAAGGAUUGACCCGCGUUGGAUUACGUAGUUGGUGGGGUAAUGGCCUACCAAGCCGACGAUCCAUAGCUGGUUUGAGAGGAUGACCAGUCACACUGGGACCGAGACACGGCCCACACUCAUACGGGUGGCAGCAGUGGGGGAUCGUAGACAGGGGGCGAGACGCUGAUCUCGCCAUGCCGCGUGAGCGAAGAAGGCCUUAGGGUUGUAGAGAUCUUGCGGGUGGGAGGAUAAUGACUGCACCGCCAGAAGCGGCCCCGGCUAACUCCGUGCCAGCCGCCGCAGUAA